UGUCCAUCGCAAAGCUGGCAAGUCAGUCAGCAAUGCAGAAGUCCUCAACUUUAGAAAAGCUGACUUUAAUAAACUUAGGAGGCUUGUUAUCGAGGCCCUAAGGGAACAUGACAUGGAGGGGAGUCCAAGAUUAGUUGCUGCUCCUUAAGGGAGCGAUCCUGAAAGCACAAGGGAUGUCCAUCCCAUCUCAGAGGAAAGGUAACAGAAGGGUGC